GGGCUUGUAGCUCAGAUGGUAGAGCGUUCGUUUUGCAUACGAAAGGUAAAGGGAUCGAUACCCUUCUGGUCCA
rnacentral:tRNA from 2 species